rnacentral:rRNA from 1 species
ACAUCCAGAGAAUUUAGCAGAGAUGCUUUAGUGCCUUCGGGAACUCUGAGACAGGUGCUGCAUGGCUGUCGUCAGCUCGUGUUGUGAAAUGUUGGGUUAAGUCCCGCAACGAGCGCAACCCUUAUCCUUUGUGCCAGCACGUAAUGGUGGGAACUCAAAGGAGACUGCCGGUGAUAAACCGGAGGAAGGUGGGGAUGACGUCAAGUCAUCAUGGCCCUUACGAGUAGGGCUACACACGUGCUACAAUGGCGCAUACAAAGAGAAGCGACCUCGCGAGAGCAAGCGGACCUCAUAAAGUGCGUCGUAGUCCGGAUUGGAGUCUGCAACUCGACUCCAUGAAGUCGGAAUCGCUAGUAAUCGUAAAUCAGAAUGUUACGGUGAAUACGUUCCCGGGCCUUGUACACACCGCCCGUCACACCAUGGGAGUGGGUUGCAAAAGAAGUAGAUAGCUUAACCUUCGGGAGGGCGUUUACCACUUUGUGAUUCAUGACUGGGGUGAAGUCGUAACAAGGUAGGCGUAGUGCU